rnacentral:lncRNA from 1 species
AUUAACAAAAAAAGUAAAAAUAUUUAAAACUUCAACUAUCAUCCGUUUUGAUGUAACUAACUAAUCUUUAAAAAAAUUCAAUUUUAUUACUUAACAUUUUCAUUCAUUUCGAUUCUGACUCAAGUGGCGAACCAAAUAUAAUGAGGUAAUGAAUCAUCCUGAUUUCAUUUUCAGCUUAUUCUCAUUCCGAUUUCGAUACUGAUUCCGAUUUCAAACUAAACACACUUAAAUGUAGCUAAAAUACAUAAUUUUUUUUUUGUAAAUACUCAUUUUUUAUUUUUUCUUCUGACUUUUAAAAAUGUGAAGUAUAUGAAUAUUUUUAUAUUUACAUUGUUAGAGAACGGUAUUUAAAUAUUUUUAUAUUUAACAAAAAUCUAUAUUUUAUCCUUUUAAAAUUAUAAGUUGAUACAUUUAAUCCCCUUCCGUCAAAAUUUCUCACUAUUCUAUCCAUUUCUUAUAAGUUAUACCAAAAUUAUUCUUGAAAAUAACAUAACUAUAUUAAAAUUUUAUUUUUUUUAUUAAUCAUUUUGCCAUCUCUAUUAACACAGUAACCCUCUAGAAAUAAUUGUAAAACUUUAAAAAGACAAAAUAUAAAUUUUUAAAAUAAAAAAUUAAUAUUUAUAGAAAAAUAUUUGUAUUUU